UGUCAUGCGGCAGCUUACCAUGCAGUCGAACGAAGUCUUCGGACUUAGUGGCAGACGGGUGAGUAACGCGUGGGAAUCUACCCAGUUCUCUGGAAUAACUGAUGGAAACGUCAGCUAAUACCGGAUACGCCCUUUUGGGGAAAGAUUUAUCGGGAUUGGAUGAGCCCGCGUAAGAUUAGCUAGUUGGUGGGGUAAUGGCCUACCAAGGCGACGAUCUUUAGCUGGUCUGAGAGGAUGAUCAGCCACACUGGGACUGAGACACGGCCCAGACUCCUACGGGAGGCAGCAGUGGGGAAUAUUGGACAAUGGGGGCAACCCUGAUCCAGCCAUGCCGCGUGAGUGAUGAAGGCCUUAGGGUUGUAAAGCUCUUUCACCGGUGAAGAUAAUGACGGUAACCGGAGAAGAAGCCCCGGCUAACUUCGUGCCAGCAGCCGCGGUAAUACGAAGGGGGCUAGCGUUGUUCGGAAUUACUGGGCGUAAAGCGCACGUAGGCGGAUAUUUAAGUCAGGGGUGAAAUCCCGG
rnacentral:rRNA from 1 species